AUUGAACGCUGGCGGCAGGCUUAACACAUGCAAGUCGAACGAGUGGCGGACGGGUGAGUAAUGCUUGGGAAUCUAGCUUAUGGAGGGGGAUAACUACGGGAAACUGUAGCUAAUACCGCGUACCAUAGGAUGAGCCCAAGUGGGAUUAGGUAGUUGGUGAGGUAAAGGCUCACCAAGCCGACGUUCUCUAGCUGGUCUGAGAGGAGGACCAGCCACACAGGGCCUGAGAGACAGCCCAGACUCCUACGGGAGGCAGCAGGGGGGAAUAUUGCGCAAUGGGGGCAACCUGACGCAGCCAUGCCGCGUGAAUGAAGAAGGACGUCGGGAUGUAAAGUACUUUCGGUAGCGAGGCGUUAACUACAGAAGAAGCACCGGCUAACUCCGUGCCAGCCGCCGCGGUAAGUC
rnacentral:rRNA from 1 species